rnacentral:lncRNA from 1 species
UUAUAUAUUGACGAAAGUGUUUAAUUUAGUAAUUUACAACGAGUUUAUUUUUUGCGAAUUUAAUAUUAAAUUAUUGCUAAUUGAUUGUAUCUCUAAUCUCUAUGACUGUAUAAAAAAAAAGGUGAUAAGGCAUCGCUGCACCAAUCAUUCCAAAACUCCCAUUUCCAAUCACUCUGGGAAGUAUUUGAUACACAACGGCUUUCUCAACUGAAUAUUCUGAAAUGGGUUUUACAGUUAAUCAAAAAUUUUUAUCUGUAAUUCUUCAUAGAAAUUCAAAGUCUCACCACCACCGUUCCCUUUAUCCUCUCUUUCCGACUAUCAAACGAAAACAGAGAACAUAUCCCAUCUCUGCAGUCCAAUCCUACCAUGUUGAGUUCCAGAC